GAAUAUUGGACCAUGGGCGAAAGCCUGAUCCAGCCAUGCCGCGUGUGUGAAGGAGGUCUCCGGAUUGUGAAGCACUUUAUGUUGGGAGGAAGGGCAGUAAGCGAAUACCUUGAUGGUUUGACGUUACCGACAGAACAAGCACCGGCUAACUCUGUGCCAGCAGCCGCGGUAGUACAGAGGGUGCAAGCGUUAAUCGGAAUUACUGGGCGGAAGUCGCGCGUAGGUGGUUCGUUGAGUCUGAUGUGAAAUCCCCGGGCUCAACCUGGGAACUGCAUCCAAAACUGGCGAGCUAGAGUAGGGCAGAGGGUGGUGGAAUUUCCUGUGUAGCGGUGAAAUGCGUAGAUAUAGGAAGGAACACCAGUGGCGAAGGCGACCACCUGGGCUCAUACUGACACUGAGGUGCGAAAGCGUGGGGAGCAAACA
rnacentral:rRNA from 1 species